GCCUCCUGGUAUUUACACCCUCAUGCAAUCUCCUCUGGCUUACAUCUCAUGAAUAGAAUACAGCAAAAGUGGUGGGAUGUUACUUUCUAGACCAGGUCAUAGAGACUGUGACUUCUGACUUGCUGGCACUAUCCCUCCUCCCUCUCUCCCCAUUACCCUGCUUCACUGGCACACUCUCUCAUGCUCACUCAGAUGAAGCCAGCUGCCAUGUUGUGAGAUGCUCUGUGAAGAGACCGUGUGGCAAGGAACUGAGGGAGGCCUCUGGCCAAUAGCUCAUGAGAAACCGAGGCCUCAGUCCAACAACCUGCAAGGAACUGCUUCCUGCCAGCAACCACAUGAGUGGGCUUGGAAGCAGAUCCUUCCCCACUGAGCCUUGAGAUGACUGCAGCCUUAGGAGAUACUCAGCCAGAAGACUCAGUUAAACCAUGCCAGGAUUCCUAACACCCAGAAAUCAGGAUGUGGUGGAAAGAACAAGAGAACCAGUUAAGCUGAAUGCCUGAAGCAAAUCUCUGUUAGCGAUGUUUUCAGGAUGAGGGAGAGUGGUGCAAGAAACGUGCUUCCAGAUGCACAUGGUUUCCUGGGACUAGGGUUCAGGGUGUCAUCCCUGGGUGUUAUUAAGUGUCAGAAGGAGAGCAAACAAGGGAAACAUCUGAGAUCCAGCUAAGGCUACACCCUGGAAAUGCAAGCCCAGCUCUUGCAAAGGACCUCCUUUGGCCACUCACCUUCCAGGCCUUACAAUAACUUGUUUGGACUGCAGGUUUCUUGGUGGACUCACAGGCCAUUCUGCUUUUAUUUGGUCAACCUCAGUUCACAAGCACCCAGAUGCUGAGAUCCUCAGCAUGUGCAGCAGAGUUUCAUAUUAGCACUGGGUACCUUUCUGAGGCUACAGGGAUACCGUACAGCAGCACCUGUCACGUCCAGCCAAAGGAGUGGGCUCUCUCAAUGUCAUCCAAUGCUGUUUCAACUGUGAAGAAGACCAUCUGAGAGAGUUGCUUUUGGAGGCUGAGGCAAAUUUUUAAAAUUCUUUGUUCUCCUCAACUGGGGUGAAUUCUUGGUCUUCUAGGACAGCUUGAAGUUUUAGAAAGAGUCAAGCCACUCAGAACCAACAGAGAACUCUUUCAGAGAACAAGGUGUGGCAUAGAGGAGGCAGAGGGCUGAUCUUGAUCAAAUCCAAAGUGUGACUCUAAAGCAAUGAAUGUGAAUUUUUGGCAAAGCUUACAAAGGGCUCUAAAGGCCAUCUGCAAAGAGAAGCCAAGCCUGGAAAUGACGUAAGCAAUGACAACUUUUCCAGAGUAAAUGCACAGAUGGCCACUCCAAGGACCUAUUCUAAGGACAACCCCCACUGGAAUCUGUGCAUUCAACUGUACACUGAUCAAAACCAAAGCAGUUACUUACUGGCCACACUUUUUAAGAGUGUUGAUGGAGUUGGGGAGAAGGGGAAGAGGACCCCUGCAUCCACAAUCCAUCAACACUUUCUUCUACAAUUUGGCCCAAGUGAAUGGAAACAAGUGGGAAAUAAAAGAGAAAUUUAAAGUCAUGCUAAAACUGAUCACGGACUCUGGGAGCAUUAUCAGGUUUUUCUUUACUGACUCAAUUGUUGAUCAUAAAAGAGAAGCAUGAAAUAUAAAGGGUAAUUAGGAUGGAGGUUAGAGAUUUCUUUCUAGAAGAGGCCUAAGGCCUGGCAAUUUGGACAGGCUGCUGGCCAAGUAAUGUCUCCAUCUCUGCCAUCCCACCUGACUGCAAUCUCUGUGAGAGCUGGGGAGUGCAGUAAACAGUUUUGUAAAUGUCUACAUGCUCAACUUGAUAGCACAUUCUCAAUACAUUGUUGGUGGUUGACAAUGAGGAAACAAAGAGAAAACAAGAUUUCAAUCACCUCCAUCCACAUCUGUGCACAUAUCAGAAUUUUAAAAUAAAUUGAAAGCUGACUUGCUGAAAGUGGAUUGCCCUGGGAAUUGGAGAAGACAGGCCCUCUAGUUAUGUGAAAUGGCAUUACCUCAGAGCCCAGGGCUUCCAGUUCUAUGAAAAGGAAGGAAGCCGACCCACGGCUCUAUAAGAGCCAUUUCCUCUCUGCUCUAUUAAUUCCAGAGAUUAAGCAAGCCACUCCUCUGUGGCCCUAAUACCCUGAGAUAACAGCUAUUGUGUUUGCUGCAAUUCCUGCUAACAGAGCUAAUCUUGGUAGAUUGGUGGUGUUGCAGGCUUUUAUUGUCAAAUUAAACUAGUCAAUGGCUCUCAUAGUCCCUUCUAUCAUCAUCCUGCUCCUAGAACUACCACUGGAAUCCCUAAUCCUGAGGUUCAGAACACUUGGAUGAUGUCUGAGUUCCCAGGGAGGAAAGUAGAAGUGUGUCAGAUGAGUUUCUAAAAGGACAACAGGGCCAGAAAGUUGAAUGGGAAGACCUCUCUGUGCCUACUCACUA
rnacentral:lncRNA from 10 species